rnacentral:rRNA from 1 species
AUGAAAGGUCUUGCUGAUGAGUUAGCCGCUGCGGGGAAGAAGAUGGAUGAGGAUGAUCUCGUGUCUCAAAUCCUCCAAGGUCUUGAUGCAGACUAUAAUCCCUUUGUUUCUGCUAUUUCUGCAAAGACCAAUGAGCAGGUUAUCACGUUGGCGGAUCUCUACUCUGGGCUGCUCGUGGCGGAGACGCGCCUAGAAGCCCAGAACCCGGUGCACCAGCAGCAGUUCUCCGUCAACCUCGCUGCUAAGGGAGGACGUGGUGGCAGCUCCUCCAACAACCGCGGCAACAGCAGCGGGAACAGCCGUGGUGGGCGCCCUGAUGAUGGGCGUGGUAACUACCACACCAACAACCAGCGCCAAGGCAACAGCGGCGGCGGCUACGGUGGUGGGUACGGCGGCGGUGGCUACAACAGCAACAACAGCGACUAUGGUGGUCAUAACAGUGGCUACGGUGGCGGCGGCUACAAUGGCGGCAGCUACGGUGGCGGGGCUACAACAACAAUUCCCGUCCUGAUGUUGUCAUCUGUCAGAUUUGUACCAAGGCCGGCCAUGAUGCAUAUCGCUGCUGGAAGCGGUUUGAGAAGAACUACAAGAGGAAGGAGAAGACCGCAAACACCGCGGCCACCUCUUACGGAGUCGACACCAAUUGGUACAUCGACACCGGGGCGACUGACCAUAUCACGAGUGAGCUAG